rnacentral:rRNA from 1 species
CCAAUAGCGUAUAUUAAAGUUGUUGCAGUUAAAAAGCUCGUAGUUGAAUUUCGGGGUCAGUAGUCUGGUCGUGCCAAUGGUAUGUACUGGGCUUACUGAUUCCUCCUUCCUGAUGAACUGUAAUGCCAUUAAUUUGGUGUUGCAGGGAAACUGGACUGUUACUUUGAAAAAAUUAGAGUGUUUAAAGCAAGCUAACGCUUGAAUACAUUAGCAUGGAAUAAUGAAAUAGGACGUUCGAUCCUAUUUCGUUGGUUUCUAGGAUUGACGUAAUGAUUAAUAGGGAUAGUUGGGGGCAUUAGUAUUCAAUUGUCAGAGGUGAAAUUCUUGGAUUUAUUGAAGACUAACUACUGCGAAAGCAUUUGCCAAGGAUGUUUUCAUUAAUCAAGAACGAAAGUUAGGGUAUCGAAGACGAUCAGAUACCGUCGUAGUCUUAACCAUAAACUAUGCCGACUAGGGAUCGGAUGAUGUUAAUUUUUUAAUGACUCAUUCGGCGCCUUACG